UAAUGCAGUCGAGCGAAGAGAUGGGAGCUUGCUCCCUGAUCUUAGCGGCGGACGGGUGAGUAACACGUGGGCAACCUGCCCUGCAGACUGGGAUAACUCCGGGAAACCGGAGCUAAUACCGGGUAAUACAUCGCACCGCAUGGUGCAAUGUUGAAAGUUGGCUUUCUGAGCUAACACUGCAGGAUGGGCCCGCGGCGCAUUAGCUAGUUGGUAAGGUAAUGGCUUACCAAGGCGACGAUGCGUAGCCGACCUGAGAGGGUGAUCGGCCACACUGGGACUGAGACACGGCCCAGACUCCUACGGGAGGCAGCAGUAGGGAAUCUUCCGCAAUGGACGAAAGUCUGACGGAGCAACGCCGCGUGAGUGACGAAGGCCUUCGGGUCGUAAAGCUCUGUUGUUAGGGAAGAACAAGUACCGUUCGAAUAGGGCGGUACCUUGACGGUACCUAACCAGAAAGCCACGGCUAACUACGUGCCAGCAGCCGCGGUAAUACGUAGGUGGCAAGCGUUGUCCGGAAUUAUUGGGCGUAAAGCGCGCGCAGGCGGUCUUUUAAGUCUGAUGUGAAAGCCCACGGCUCAACCGUGGAGGGUCAUUGGAAACUGGAGGACUUGAGUGCAGAAGAGGAGAGUGGAAUUCCACGUGUAGCGGUGAAAUGCGUAGAUAUGUGGAGGAACACCAGUGGCGAAGGCGGCUCUCUGGUCUGUAACUGACGCUGAGGCG
rnacentral:rRNA from 2 species